rnacentral:rRNA from 1 species
CUUUACUGUAACCUGGUAUUGGGUUCGGGCUUUGACUGCGCAGGAUAGGUGGGAGACUAUGAAGCAAUCCUUGUGGGGAUUGUGGAGUCAACAGUGAGAUACCACUCUGUCAGAGCUAGAAUUCUAACCUUCACCCGUUAUCCGGGGAAGGAACCGUAUCAGGCGGGCAGUUUGACUGGGGCGGUCGCCUCCUAAAUGGUAACGGAGGCGCGCAAAGGUGUUCUCAGGCUGGUUGGAAAUCAGCCGCAGAGUGUAAAGGCAGAAGAACGCUUGACUGUGGGAGUGACAACUCGAGCAGGGUGGAAACACGGCCUUAGUGAUCCGACGGCUUGUGCGUGGAAAUGCCGUCGCUAAACGGAUAAAAGUUA